GAUGAACGCUGGCGGCGUGCUUAAUACAUGCAAGUCGAACGGACAGACCCGGCUCUUGCUGCGUGCUCGUUUGCCGCACGGGUGAGUAUCACGCGAGUAUCCUCCCCCUGACUUUGUGAUAUCUCCUCGAGACUGGGGCUAUUACCCGGUAUAAUCUCUUGCUCCAUGUGGUUGGUUGGUAAAAUUCGGCGGUUGGGGCUCGUAUCGCGGCUUACCCGCUUGAUUGUGAGGUAGUGGCUUACCAAGCCUUUGACGGGUAGCCGGCCUGAGAGGCUGACCGGCCACAUUGGGACUGAGAUACGGCCCAGACUCCUACGGGAGGCAGCAGUGGGGAAUAUUGCAGAAUGGGCGGAAGCCUGAUGCAGCAACGCCGCGUGCGGGAUGACGGCCUUCGGGUUGUAAACCGCUUUCGCCUGUGACGAAGAGUGAGUGACGGUAAUGGGUAAGGAAGCACCGGCUAACUACGUG
rnacentral:rRNA from 1 species